rnacentral:misc_RNA from 1 species
GAUGAAGAACGCAGCGAAAUGCGAUAAGUAAUGUGAAUUGCAGAAUUCAGUGAAUCAUCGAAUCUUUGAACGCACAUUGCGCCCGCCAGUAUUCUGGCGGGCAUGCCUGUUCGAGCCUCAUUUCAACCAUCAAGCCCCCGGCUUGUGUUGGGGACCUGCGGCUGCCGCAGGCCCUGAAAACCAGUGGCGGGCUCGCUAGUCACUCCGAGCGUAGUAAUACAUCUCGCUCAGGGCGUGCUGCGGGUUCCGGCCGUUAAAAAGCCUUAUUUACCCAAGGUUGACCUCGGAUCAGGUAGGAAGACCCGCUGAACUUAAGCAUAUCAAUAAGCGGAGGA